rnacentral:rRNA from 1 species
AGCGAACGCUGGCGGCAGGCCUAACACAUGCAAGUCGAACGAACCUUUCGGGGUUAGUGGCGGACGGGUGAGUAACACGUGGGAACGUGCCUUUAGGUUCGGAAUAACUCAGGGAAACUUGUGCUAAUACCGAAUGUGCCCUUCGGGGGAAAGAUUUAUCGCCUUUAGAGCGGCCCGCGUCUGAUUAGCUAGUUGGUUGAGGUAAUGGCUCACCAAGGCGACGAUCAGUAGCUGGUCUGAGAGGAUGAUCAGCCACAUUGGGACUGAGGCACGGCCCAAACUCCUACGGGAGGCAGCAGUGGGGAAUCUUGCGCAAUGGGCGAAAGCCUGACGCAGCCAUGCCGCGUGAAUGAUGAAGGUCUUAGGAUUGUAAAAUUCUUUCACCGGGGACGAUAAUGACGGUACCCGGAGAAGAAGCCUCGGCUAACUUCGUG